rnacentral:rRNA from 1 species
GAUGAACGCUGGCGGUAUGCUUAACACAUGCAAGUCGAACGGACUCUUCGGAGUUAGUGGCGGACGGGUGAGUAACGCGUGAGAAUCUGGCUUUGGGUUCGGGACAACCACUGGAAACGGUGGCUAAUACCGGAUGUGCCGAGAGGUAAAAGAGAAAUUGCCUGAAGAUGAGCUCGCGUCUGAUUAGCUAGUUGGUGAGGUAAAGGCUCACCAAGGCAGCGAUCAGUAGCUGGUCUGAGAGGAUGACCAGCCACACUGGGACUGAGACACGGCCCAGACUACUACGGGAGGCAGCAGUGGAGAAUUUUCCGCAAUGGGCGAAAGCCUGACGGAGCAAUACCGCGUGAGGGAAGAAGGCUCUUGGGUUGUAAACCUCUUUUCUUAGGGAAGAACAAAAUGACGGUACCUAAGGAAUCAGCAUCGGCUAACUCCGUG